rnacentral:rRNA from 1 species
GCGGGGGCCGUGAGGAUAUUGGUCAUGGACGCAAGUCUGAACCAGCCAUGCCGCGUGCAGGAUGACGGUCCUAUGGAUUGUAAACUGCUUUUGUACGAGAAGAAACACUCCUACGUGUAGGAGCUUGACGGUAUCGUAAGAAUAAGGAUCGGCUAACUCCGUGCCAGCAGCCGCGGUAAU